rnacentral:tRNA from 1 species
AGCCCCGCGGUGUUUUACGUCAAAAUGCAAGUUUGAAGAAGCACUUUAAAGGUGCCGGGGCUU